UAGUCCCGGAUCUUAUUGGCAACAUUGCACUGCUGUCGGAUCUCGCCCUUGUUUCCGGUGAGAGGGUUGUUCUCGGAGAGAAUGGUGAAGGCUCUCGAAAACUCCUUGAAGAAGUAGUCUUGGCUCUUGGCCAUUUUCUUGACGUAGGGUUUUGUCCUCUUGUCUGUGGCUAGCUGGUGAUCCACCAUCAUCAAACCCUUGUUGUCCAAGAUGUUUCUGUAGUAGUUAUUAUCGAAGAUCAUGGGGGUACCGCGGUCAUUUCUCACGUACUGAACGGCUUUCGGGUCGGGGAUUGCAUCAGGGCACUUCUUGAGCAUGUGAGGGACAUGGUCAGGGUUGAGCUGAGGAUCAACUUCUGGGUACAACCGGUGCACCAGCUUCACACAAUGUGUUCUUCCAACACUGUGAGCUCCUGCAAUUGGUUCCAACAUAUACGACAAAAUUAGUGUUUCUGAUAGCGUUUGAUAUAAAAAAAUUCCUGGAGAAGCAAAAUUGUAUAUGAAAGAGUUAAAGAGUGUUUUAGGGCAACAAAAUCACUUACGACUUAUGAUUCUUUGAAAAGUUCUUUUAUCACAUAGAAGCACUUCUAGCAGAAGCGUUUUCCAAAAAAGCAAAUCUCAAACAAGGCUUAGAAGUGUUUCCUUAAGAACGCUUGUUCUCGAAAUAGCACUUAUAUUUUUAUUUUAACCUUUAAACGUGCUUCUAGUAAAAGCAGCUUCUAGAGCAUAUAUACCUAGAAGGGCAACCAAACCGGGGGUGUCAAUGCCCAUGUCAGCAAACUUCUCAAGGACAACGGACAUGCUCUCAUUGUGGUCAGGAAGGUAUUGCUCAAGGAUAUCAGCUCUGCUUCUCCUUCCAUCUCUUCUUCCAGUUUUAAGAGGAAUGAAUGGGCCUCCAAGC
rnacentral:lncRNA from 1 species